rnacentral:lncRNA from 1 species
AUGUUGUCUCUCCUUCUCCACCUUCAACUAUUCAUCUGUCUCUCUCUAGUGGUGUCUCUCCUUCUCUACCUUCAACUAUUCAUCUGUCUCUCUCUAGUGGUGUCUCUCCUUCUCCAUCUUCAACUAUUCAUCUGUCUCUCUCUAGUGGUGUCUCUCCUUCAUCACCUUCAACUAUUCAUCUGUCUCUCUCUUGUGGUGUCUCUCCUUCUCUACUUUCAACUAUUCAUCUGUCUAUCUCUAGUGGUGUCUCUCCUUCUCUACCUCCAACUAUUCAUCUGUCUCUCUCUAGUGGUGUCUCCUUCUCUACCUUCAACUAUUCAUCUGUCUCUCUCUAGUGGUGUCUCUCCACUUUCAACUAUUCAUCUGUCUCUCUCUAGUGGUGUCUCUCCUUCUCCACCUUCAACUAUUCAUCUGUUUGUUUUUCUAGUGGUGUCUCUCCUUCUCCACCUUCAACUAUUCAUCUGUCUAUCUCUAGUGGUGUCUCUCCACUUUCAACUAUUCAUCUGUCUAUCUCUAGUGGUGUCUCUCCUUCUCCACCUUCAACUAUUCAUCUGUCUCUCUCUAGUGGUGUCUCUCCACUUUCAACUAUUCAUCUCUCUCUCUCUAGUGGUGUCUCUCCACUUUCAACUAUUCAUAUGUCUCUCUAGUGGUGUCUCUCCUUCUCCACCUUCAACUAUUCAUCUGUCUAUCUCUAGUGGUGUCUCUCCUUCUCCACCUUCAACUAUUCAUCUGUCUCUCUCUAGUGGUGUCUCUCCUUCACCACCAACUAUUCAUCUGUCUCUCUCUAGUGGUGUCUCUCCUUCUCCACCUUCAACUAUUCAUCUGUCUAUCUCUAGUGGUGUCUCUCCUUCACCACCAACUAUUCAUCUGUUUGUUUUUCUAGUGGUGUCUCUCCUUCUCCACCUUCAACUAUUCAUCUGUCUCUCUCUAGUGGUGUCUCUCCUUCAUCACCUUCAACUAUUCAUCUGUCGAUCUCUAGUGGUGUCUCUCCUUCUCCACCUUCAACUAUUCAUCUGUCUCUCUCUAGUGGUGUCUCUCCUUCUCUACCUUCAACUAUUCAUCUGUCUCUCUCUAGUGGUGUCUCUCCUUCUCUACCUUCAACUAUUAAUCUGUCUCUCUCUAGUGGUGUCUCUCCUUCAUCACCUUCAACUAUUCAUCUGCCUAUCUCUCUAG